rnacentral:rRNA from 1 species
AUUGAACGCUGGCGGCAGGCCUAACACAUGCAAGUCGAGCGAGCGGCGGACGGGUGAGUAAUGCCCGGGAAUUGCCCAGUCGAGGGGGAUAACAGUUGGAAACGACUGCUAAUACCGCAUACGAUUGGAUUGACCAGGUUGGAUUAGCUAGUUGGUGAGGUAAUGGCUCACCAAUGCGACGAUCCCUAGCUGGUCUGAGAGGAUGAUCAGCCACACUGGAACUGAGACACGGUACAGACUCGUACGAGAGGCGUCAGUGGAGAAUAAUGCACAAUGGGGGAAACCCUGAUGCAACCAUGCCGCGUGUGUGAAGAAGGCCUUCGGGUUGUAAAGCACUUUCAGCGAGGAGGAGUUACUCGCAGAAGAAGCACCGGCUGACUCCGUGCCAGCAGCCGCGGUAAUUC